UACGGAGGAUGCAAGCGUUAUCCGGAUUUAUUGGGUUUAAAGGGUGCGCAGGUUGUUUGAUAAGUCAGUGGUGAAAGUCUGUCGCUUAACGGUAGGAUUGCCAUUGAUACUGUUGGACUUGAAUAUGGAUGAGGUAGGCGGAAUGUGUAGUGUAGCGGUGAAAUGCAUAGAUAUUACACAGAACACCGAUUGCGAAGGCAGCUUACUAAUCCAUCAUUGACGCUGAGGCGCGAAAGCGUGGGGAUCAAACA
rnacentral:rRNA from 1 species